UGAGGAAUAUUGGUCAAUGGGCGCGAGCCUGAACCAGCCAAGCCGCGUGAGGGAAGAAGGCGCUAAGCGUCGUAAACCUCUUUUGUCAGGGGACAAAAAUGUCGUACGCGUACGAUAUUGAGUGUACCUGAAGAAAAACGCAUCGGCUAACUCCGUGCCAGCAGCCGCGGUAAUACGGAGGAUGCGAGCGUUAUCCGGAUUUAUUGGGUUUAAAGGGUGCGUAGGCGGACAGUUAAGUCAGCGGUAAAAGCCCGGGGCUCAACCCCGGGCGAGCCGUUGAAACUGGCAGUCUUGAGUAGGACAGAAGUAUGCGGAAUGCGCCGUGUAGAGGUGAAAUUCAUAGAUAUGGCGCAGAACACCGAUUGCGAAGGCAGCAUACCGGGUCCUUACUGACGCUGAGGCACGAAAGCGUGGGUAUCGAACAGGAUUAGAUACC
rnacentral:rRNA from 1 species